AUGGCGGCGCUGCCCUGCUUUCGCUUUGGUCUCCUCCGCCUGGCCACCUUGGUUGCCAUGCUGGUGCAACAAGCCCGUCUGGUGCCUGUGGCCAUGGCGCAAACCAAUAACCUGACCGCGGGAGACGCCUUGACGCCGCCCCGGUACAUCACCAGUCCGUCCGGCGGCUUCGCCUUCGGCUUCCGCGCCCUCGACUCCGACCCGACAAAGUUCGUCCUCGCCACAUGGUUCCGCUUCGCGGACGACGCCAACUCCUCCCAGCCGCAGCCGCAGUCCGUGGUGUGGUUCCUGAAACAGACGACCAUGGGUAGCGCGCUCGUCGCCACCGCGACGUCCGUCCUCAACAUCACGGGCGACGGCCGCCUCAGGCUCACAGACCGCGGCGACCAAGAGCUGUGGAGCGCCACGACUGGCAUGCAGCGCGGGUCCGUCCUCGCGCUGAGCGACUCCGGCAACGUCCAGUUCCUCGGCGACGGCGACAUCGUGCUCUGGGAGAGCUUCCGGAACCCGACGGACACGCUGCUCCCAGGGCAGCCCUUGUCCUCGAGUUACUCGCCAGGGGGAUUCCUCGUCUCCAAGCGCGCGGACACGGAGUUCGGGACGGGACGGUUCAGCCUGGCAGUCCAGCCCGACGGCAACGUCGUCCUCUACCUCGACCUCUUCACCGCUGACUACAGAACGACCAACGCCUACUGGGCUACGCGCACCUACGGCCCCAAUGGCAACACGACCGUCACCUUCGACAACCAGGGUUUCCUCAACUACACGCUUCAAGAUGGCAGCGUUCACGGUUUGAUUUCGCCGAAAGGUUCCAACGGCGGCAACUACUUGCAGUUGGGGAGGAUGGACACUGACGGCAUCGUCCGCACCUACACCCGCUCUAGAUACGGUAGCGGGGCCACGCCUUGGACAGUGUCGGGAGCACUCCCCGGUGACGGAGGCUGCAACAGGGCAACGUCCUCGAGGCAAGGCUUGUGCGGCCCGGGGUCUUACUGCGUGCAGACGAUAGACAGGCUCAGCUGCCUGUGCCCCACUGGCUACACCUACAUCGACGCGCAGCACACCAAUAUCGGCUGCACGCCGGAGUUCGGCCCGUCGGCGAGGAGAAAGAUACUACGUCCCUACAAGAUCGUCACCGUUUGCCUGUUCUGUCUCCUGUUGAUCACCAUCGGCGGCCUCGUGGCACAGCAUUACCUCAUCAGAACCAGUGAUAGCCAGCGGCCGUUGAACUCUGGUGUGAGAGUAUUCAGCUGGAAGGAGCUCUACCAAGCCACCAAUGGAUUCGAGAGUCUGCUGGGCAAAGGGAGCUUCGGGGAGGUCUACAAAGGGACGAUAAGAUCGCCACAGCCGCAUCUCAUCGCGGUGAAAAAGCUCAUCGACUCCAACGAGUACAGUGAGCAGGAAUUCACAAACGAGGUGCAGUCCAUCGGGCAGAUCCACCACCGGAACCUGGUCCGUAUGAUCGGCUACUGCAAAGAAGGCAGACACCGGAUGUUGGUCUUCGAGUUCAUGCCGGGCGGGUCGCUCCGUAGCGUCCUCUUCGUCGACCAAGAGAGGCGGCCCCUGUGGAGCUGGCGUGUUGAGGCCGCCCUCGCCAUCGCCCGGGGGCUCGAGUACCUCCACGAUGGCUGCAGCGCCCCUAUCAUCCACUGCGACAUCAAGCCCGACAACAUCCUGCUGGACGACCAUGGCGUCCCGAGGAUCACCGACUUUGGGAUCUCCAAGCUGCUCGGGAGCCAGCAAGUGCACACCACGGUGACCAACGUCAGGGGCACCAGAGGAUACAUCGCGCCCGAGUGGCUCCGCAGCGAUGCGCGUGUGGACACCAAGGCGGACGUGUAUAGCUUCGGCGUCGUGCUACUGGAGAUGAUUUGCUGCCGGAGGUGCCAGGAGCGCGUGGUGCAGGACACGUUGCCGGCAGGCGCGGGAGAUGACGACGAGACAGUCACGCUGUUCGGUUGGGCGGCGCAACUGGUGGUAGCACGGAGGACGGAGCUGAUGUUGGACGGCGACCCGGACGUUGAGACAGUGGAGGACAAGCAGAGGGUGGAGCAGUUUGCGCGCGUGGCGCUGUGGUACAUGGAGCCCAACCCGCCGCUGCGGCCAACCAUGCACCAGGUGGUGCAAAUGCUGGAGACCAGGAAUCAGGCUCAGAUUCAGGCAGCACUCCCUGACCGUCCGGACUGUUACAUAGAAUCCUCACCUUUAAUUCCUCAGCUCAAGAUUGAAUGA
rnacentral:rRNA from 1 species